AUGAACGCUAGCGACAGGCUUAACACAUGCAAGUCGAGGGGCAGCACAGGUAGCAAUACCGGGUGGCGACCGGCGCACGGGUGAGUAACGCGUAUGCAACUUGCCUAUCAGAGGGGGAUAACCCGGCGAAAGUCGGACUAAUACCGCAUGAAGCAGGGGCCCCGCAUGGGGAUAUUUGCUAAAGAUUCAUCGCUGAUAGAUAGGCAUGCGUUCCAUUAGGCAGUUGGCGGGGUAACGGCCCACCAAACCGACGAUGGAUAGGGGUUCUGAGAGGAAGGUCCCCCACAUUGGUACUGAGACACGGACCAAACUCCUACGGGAGGCAGCAGUGAGGAAUAUUGGUCAAUGGGCGUAAGCCUGAACCAGCCAAGUCGCGUGAGGGAUGAAGGUUCUAUGGAUCGUAAACCUCUUUUAUAAGGGAAUAAAGUGCGGGUCGUGUCCCGUUUUGUAUGUACCUUAUGAAUAAGGAUCGGCUAACUCCGUGCCAGCAGCCGCGGUAAUACGGAGGAUCCGAGCGUUAUCCGGAUUUAUUGGGUUUAAAGGGUGCGUAGGCGGCCUUUUAAGUCAGCGGUGAAAGUCUGUGGCUCAACCAUAGAAUUGCCGUUGAAACUGGGGGGCUUGAGUAUGUUUGAGGCAGGCGGAAUGCGUGGUGUAGCGGUGAAAUGCAUAGAUAUCACGCAGAACCCCGAUUGCGAAGGCAGCCUGCCAAGCCAUUACUGACGCUGAUGCACGAAAGCGUGGGGAUCAAACAGGAUUAGAUACCCUGGUAGUCCACGCAGUAAACGAUGAUCACUAGCUGUUUGCGAUACACUGUAAGCGGCACAGCGAAAGCGUUAAGUGAUCCACCUGGGGAGUACGCCGGCAACGGUGAAACUCAAAGGAAUUGACGGGGGCCCGCACAAGCGGAGGAACAUGUGGUUUAAUUCGAUGAUACGCGAGGAACCUUACCCGGGUUUGAACGCAUUCGGACCGAGGUGGAAACACCUUUUCUAGCAAUAGCCGUUUGCGAGGUGCUGCAUGGUUGUCGUCAGCUCGUGCCGUGAGGUGUCGGCUUAAGUGCCAUAACGAGCGCAACCCUUGCCACUAGUUACUAACAGGUAAAGCUGAGGACUCUGGUGGGACUGCCAGCGUAAGCUGCGAGGAAGGCGGGGAUGACGUCAAAUCAGCACGGCCCUUACAUCCGGGGCGACACACGUGUUACAAUGGCGUGGACAAAGGGAAGCCACCUGGCGACAGGGAGCGAAUCCCCAAACCACGUCUCAGUUCGGAUCGGAGUCUGCAACCCGACUCCGUGAAGCUGGAUUCGCUAGUAAUCGCGCAUCAGCCAUGGCGCGGUGAAUACGUUCCCGGGCCUUGUACACACCGCCCGUCAAGCCAUGGGAGCCGGGGGUACCUGAAGUCCGUAACCGCGAGGAUCGGCCUAGGGUAAAACUGGUGACUGGGGCU
rnacentral:rRNA from 1 species